UUGAGGUCCUUAGAAUCCACAAACGAAUGUUAGGCCAAGAACCACUUUGUGUAGGAGGGUUUUAUGGUGGCUGUCUCGAGGAAAUUAGCCUCGGCCCUAGUGCCCUGUUUGGUCAGGACAAUAGAGUAAAAAAAUAGAAGCAAAGCCGAAGACAUGGAUCCCAACAGAAAGAUCCAGGGGUAAUAAUGGAAUUAUGAUAAUUGAUUGAGGGGUAGAAAAGGAAAAGAGAAGAUGACAGAUGUUGCUUGCGCAAAUCUAGCUAAUCUGAGCUUCCUUUGCAAGUAAAGCAAUGAGGUAUUAAGGCAAAAGAAUACAAAAACACUACCUUUCUUCCUCUCAUUCUCACAUUUACUUGGCCUCAUUAUGUUUUCAGACACUCACAAGGCAAACUACCCUCAUGCGUCUUCACCUUACCACCUUCUUUAUUAUUGCCAUUUCACUACAACUAAGUACUGAGAGCCCAUCUCGGAGGAAAACUGUCCUAAGAUAGGACAAGGAAACCCAUCUCAGUGGAAAGAAGAAGGAAAAAGAAAAAAGUUGGUGGUGGCGGUGGAAGAUGAUGAGAGCUGAGGCUGAAAUCACAUGGGAAAUCGAAGCAUUUUUGGUCUUUGAGAUGGGAAUAUUGUUUAAGCAAAUGGGUCUCAUUUUGGGCUUAUUUGAGAGCUCGUGGGCUGGAUGGACAGGAAGCUCCAUCUCUGCAGUCCAGUCCUUGCAAAAUAUAGCAUUCCUCUUCUUCUUCCUUGGCUUCUGGUAAUGAUUCUGCUGGAUGGUUGGUGGCGGCGGAGGCAGUGGUGUGAUAUUGGCUGGACGGCUCAAUCUCUUUAUUGUUAUGACAUAGGAACUAAAAUGUUUCUUUUUUCUUUGUGGGUUUCAUUUUUGUAACUUAGUCUUAUAAUGCUGAUAUGCAACUACAGGGUUAACUUUCUUGCU